AGCGGCGGACGGGUGAGUAACACGUAGGCAACCUGCCCCUUAGACUGGGAUAACUACCGGAAACGGUAGCUAAUACCGGAUAAUUCCUUUCUUCUCCUGAGGAAAGGAUGAAAGGCGGAGCAAUCUGCUACUAAGGGAUGGGCCUGCGGCGCAUUAGCUAGUUGGUGGGGUAACGGCCCACCAAGGCGACGAUGCGUAGCCGACCUGAGAGGGUGAACGGCCACACUGGGACUGAGACACGGCCCAGACUCCUACGGGAGGCAGCAGUAGGGAAUCUUCCGCAAUGGGCGAAAGCCUGACGGAGCAACGCCGCGUGAGUGAUGAAGGUUUUCGGAUCGUAAAGCUCUGUUGCCAGGGAAGAACGUCCGGUAGAGUAACUGCUACCGGAGUGACGGUACCUGAGAAGAAAGCCCCGGCUAACUACGUGCCAGCAGCCGCGGUAAUACGUAGGGGGCAAGCGUUGUCCGGAAUUAUUGGGCGUAAAGCGCGCGCAGGCGGCUGUUUAAGUCUGGUGUUUAAACCUUGGGCUCAACCUGGGGUCGCACUGGAAACUGGGCAGCUUGAGUACAGAAGAGGAAAGUGGAAUUCCACGUGUAGCGGUGAAAUGCGUAGAUAUGUGGAGGAACACCAGUGGCGAAGGCGACUUUCUGGGCUGUAACUGACGCUGACGCGCGAAAGCGUGGGGAGCAAACA
rnacentral:rRNA from 1 species